rnacentral:rRNA from 1 species
AACGAACGCUGGCGGCGUGCUUAACACAUGCAAGUCGAACGUGAUCCAUCCUUCGGGGUGGUGAAAGUGGCGCACGGGUGAGUAACGCGUGGAUAACCUGCCCGAUGAUCUGGGAUAACAUCUCGAAAGGGGUGCUAAUACCGGAUAAGCCCACGGGAGCUUCGGCUCUUGCGGGAAAAGAGGGGGACCUUCGGGCCUCUUGUCAUCGGAUGGGUCCGCGUCCCAUUAGCUAGUUGGCGGGGUAAUGGCCCACCAAGGCAACGAUGGGUAGCUGGUCUGAGAGGAUGAUCAGCCACACUGCAACUGAGACACGGUUCAGACUCCUACGGGAGGCAGCAGUGGGGAAUUUUGCGCAAUGGGGGAAACCCUGACGCAGCAACGCCGCGUGAGUGAUGAAGGCCCUUGGGUCGUAAAGCUCUGUCAGAGGGGAAGAAAUGAUUGGGUAUUAAUACUGCCUGAUCUUGACGGUACCCUCAAAGGAAGCACCGGCUAACUCCGUGCCAGCAGCCGCGGUAAUACGGAGGGUGCAAGCGUUGUUCGGAUUUAUUGGGCGUAAAGGGCGUGUAGGCGGUUCGUUAAGUCUGAUGUGAAAGCCCCGGGCUCAACCCGGGAAGUGCAUUGGAAACUGGCGAACUUGAGUACGGGAGAGGGCAGUGGAAUUCCUAGUGUAGGAGUGAAAUCCGUAGAUAUUAGGAGGAACACCGGUGGCGAAGGCGGCUGCCUGGACCGAUACUGACGCUGAGACGCGAAAGCGUGGGGAGCAAACAGGAUUAGAUACCCUGGUAGUCCACGCCGUAAACGAUGAGCACUAGGUGUUGCGGGUAUUGACCCCUGCAGUGCCGCAGCUAACGCAUUAAGUGCU